ACCUUCUGGCAAUGGGCAAAGAGACACCUUGUUGGUGUUGUCCUUAUAUCAGUCAGGGGCAGAACAGAUGACAAUCCUUUGUCUAUCCUGGCUUGAUGCCUGGCUUGGUGGCCAAAGUUUCCUUAUGCCUAGGACUCAUAA